AUUUUCUAUUUUACUUUAGUUCAAAACACAGUGGCUGAAGUUGUACAUUUGCAGAGAGACUUGUGGAGAUGUCAAGAAAGUUUGUCUGGAAAAAAGGCAAGAGGUCUUCAUAUGUUAAAAAAAAAAAAGAAAAGAAAAGAAAAGAAAAGAAACUGGCCUUCAGCAAUGUGGCCUAUUAUGUCUCUUCCCAUAUUUGUUUCACUGAACUGAGCCCUACUGUGCUGACCAGCAUCACCUGGGAUCCCCAAACUCCUGUUCCCUUCUUCUGCUUCAAAAUAUCUUCUAGGCUCAGAGAAAUCUCAGCUCUUAUUCCUCCCUGACACACUUUCAUCUUUUCCACUUAUAUCUCCCAAUGUCUCUGCCAGCAUUUUCUAAUGUGUCACCUUAUCUCUUUUCUCUUAUUAAAAGGCUGAAUCUUGA